rnacentral:tRNA from 1 species
GCAUUGGUUCAGUGGUAGAAUUCUUGCCUUCCAUGAGGGAGACCUGGGUUCAAUUCCCAGCCAAUGCU